UGGACGUGCACCAACGAUUACGCACGGGCUGCGUAUAAAAAGUCCCCGAGGGAAGGAAAGCCGAAACUCCAUCCUGAGGGAUGCUGCUGCGAGAGAAUCUCCAACUCAUGGAGGCUGAGCUUCUGCGGGAGAGGCCACAGCCUGAAGAAGAAAUGGGAUCGGAAAUAAACCCGCCUGGGAGACCUGCAGGCAACAGCAAGUAUUCAGAGACUCAAAUCUGGGACCCCGUUCUGAGUGACAGCAAGUGCUUUGACACACACAUUCUUGAGGAUACUGCUUUUCACUUCACAUUGUUCUACUCAGCCUCUCCACUGCUCCCAGCAUCUCUGCUGUGCCUCUUCUGGACAUAUAGAAGUGAUGUA
rnacentral:lncRNA from 1 species